CCCUAAUACAAUGUCUGUUUUUCUUGUUUUAGAAUCGAACAUCCUAUUUCAUGGAUUCAUCAAAAGGAUGGAAGAGACCACUUGAUAACAGCGAUGGAAGACUGUAUAUUGUGGUAAGGGUGGUGGGUUGUAACAUUUACUUUUCUGUUACAAGGUAUAGUUUAGUAAAGCAAUAUAGCAAUAGUGUUAAGUUGGGUAGAAUUUUUAAUUCACUUUGCCCAAUUUCCUGGAGUUUGUUGUAUAUGUGAACCACGAUACAGUUAGUGUACUGAAUACUUUAUGCCUGUUGCGCAAUAAGGGAGUUUAUUAUAUGGC